rnacentral:ncRNA from 2 species
GACACAGAUAGGGGAGAGACCCGCUGUCUUCGACCGGGCACCGAAGGGGCAAGCCUCGCUGGACAGUGCCUGUGCGAGGCGAAACUCUCAGGUCAAAGGACCCUAUCUGGCCG